rnacentral:rRNA from 1 species
GGGUUGUGAGGUUAAGCGACUAAGCGUACACGGUGGAUGCCCUGGCAGGUCAGAGGCGAUGAAGGACGUGCUAAUCUGCGAUAAGCGUCGGUAAGGUGAUAUGAACCGUUAUAACCGGCGAUUUCCGAAUGGGGAAACCCAGUGUGUUUCGACACACUAUCAUUAACUGAAUCCAUAGGUUAAUGAGGCGAACCGGGGGAACUGAAACAUCUAAGUACCCCGAGGAAAAGAAAUCAACCGAGAUUCCCCCAGUAGCGGCGAGCGAACGGGGAGCAGCCCAGAGCCUGAAUCAGUGUGUGUGUUAGUGGAAGCGUCUGGAAAGGCGCGCGAUACAGGGUGACAGCCCCGUACACAAAAAUGCACAUGCUGUGAGCUCGAUGAGUAGGGCGGGACACGUGGUAUCCUGUCUGAAUAUGGGGGGACCAUCCUCCAAGGCUAAAUACUCCUGACUGACCGAUAGUGAACCAGUACCGUGAGGGAAAGGCGAAAAGAACCCCGGCGAGGGGAGUGAAAAAGAACCUGAAACCGUGUACGUACAAGCAGUGGGAGCACGCUUAGGCGUGUGACUGCGUACCUUUUGUAUAAUGGGUCAGCGACUUAUAUUCUGUAGCAAGGUUAACCGAAUAGGGGAGCCGAAGGGAAACCGAGUCUUAACUGGGCGUUAAGUUGCAGGGUAUAGACCCGAAACCCGGUGAUCUAGCCAUGGGCAGGUUGAAGGUUGGGUAACACUAACUGGAGGACCGAACCGACUAAUGUUGAAAAAUUAGCGGAUGACUUGUGGCUGGGGGUGAAAGGCCAAUCAAACCGGGAGAUAGCUGGUUCUCCCCGAAAGCUAUUUAGGUAGCGCCUCGUGAAUUCAUCUCCGGGGGUAGAGCACUGUUUCGGCAAGGGGGUCAUCCCGACUUACCAACCCGAUGCAAACUGCGAAUACCGGAGAAUGUUAUCACGGGAGACACACGGCGGGUGCUAACGUCCGUCGUGAAGAGGGAAACAACCCAGACCGCCAGCUAAGGUCCCAAAGUCAUGGUUAAGUGGGAAACGAUGUGGGAAGGCCCAGACAGCCAGGAUGUUGGCUUAGAAGCAGCCAUCAUUUAAAGAAAGCGUAAUAGCUCACUGGUCGAGUCGGCCUGCGCGGAAGAUGUAACGGGGCUAAACCAUGCACCGAAGCUGCGGCAGCGACGCUUAUGCGUUGUUGGGUAGGGGAGCGUUCUGUAAGCCUGUGAAGGUGUGCUGUGAGGCAUGCUGGAGGUAUCAGAAGUGCGAAUGCUGACAUAAGUAACGAUAAAGCGGGUGAAAAGCCCGCUCGCCGGAAGACCAAGGGUUCCUGUCCAACGUUAAUCGGGGCAGGGUGAGUCGACCCCUAAGGCGAGGCCGAAAGGCGUAGUCGAUGGGAAACAGGUUAAUAUUCCUGUACUUGGUGUUACUGCGAAGGGGGGACGGAGAAGGCUAUGUUGGCCGGGCGACGGUUGUCCCGGUUUAAGCGUGUAGGCUGGUUUUCCAGGCAAAUCCGGAAAAUCAAGGCUGAGGCGUGAUGACGAGGCACUACGGUGCUGAAGCAACAAAUGCCCUGCUUCCAGGAAAAGCCUCUAAGCAUCAGGUAACAUCAAAUCGUACCCCAAACCGACACAGGUGGUCAGGUAGAGAAUACCAAGGCGCUUGAGAGAACUCGGGUGAAGGAACUAGGCAAAAUGGUGCCGUAACUUCGGGAGAAGGCACGCUGAUAUGUAGGUGAAGUCCCUCGCGGAUGGAGCUGAAAUCAGUCGAAGAUACCAGCUGGCUGCAACUGUUUAUUAAAAACACAGCACUGUGCAAACACGAAAGUGGACGUAUACGGUGUGACGCCUGCCCGGUGCCGGAAGGUUAAUUGAUGGGGUCAGCGCAAGCGAAGCUCUUGAUCGAAGCCCCGGUAAACGGCGGCCGUAACUAUAACGGUCCUAAGGUAGCGAAAUUCCUUGUCGGGUAAGUUCCGACCUGCACGAAUGGCGUAAUGAUGGCCAGGCUGUCUCCACCCGAGACUCAGUGAAAUUGAACUCGCUGUGAAGAUGCAGUGUACCCGCGGCAAGACGGAAAGACCCCGUGAACCUUUACUAUAGCUUGACACUGAACAUUGAGCCUUGAUGUGUAGGAUAGGUGGGAGGCUUAGAAGUGUGGACGCCAGUCUGCAUGGAGCCGACCUUGAAAUACCACCCUUUAAUGUUUGAUGUUCUAACGUUGACCCGUAAUCCGGGUUGCGGACAGUGUCUGGUGGGUAGUUUGACUGGGGCGGUCUCCUCCUAAAGAGUAACGGAGGAGCACGAAGGUUGGCUAAUCCUGGUCGGACAUCAGGAGGUUAGUGCAAUGGCAUAAGCCAGCUUGACUGCGAGCGUGACGGCGCGAGCAGGUGCGAAAGCAGGUCAUAGUGAUCCGGUGGUUCUGAAUGGAAGGGCCAUCGCUCAACGGAUAAAAGGUACUCCGGGGAUAACAGGCUGAUACCGCCCAAGAGUUCAUAUCGACGGCGGUGUUUGGCACCUCGAUGUCGGCUCAUCACAUCCUGGGGCUGAAGUAGGUCCCAAGGGUAUGGCUGUUCGCCAUUUAAAGUGGUACGCGAGCUGGGUUUAGAACGUCGUGAGACAGUUCGGUCCCUAUCUGCCGUGGGCGCUGGAGAACUGAGGGGGGCUGCUCCUAGUACGAGAGGACCGGAGUGGACGCAUCACUGGUGUUCGGGUUGUCAUGCCAAUGGCACUGCCCGGUAGCUAAAUGCGGAAGAGAUAAGUGCUGAAAGCAUCUAAGCACGAAACUUGCCCCGAGAUGAGUUCUCCCUGACCCUUUAAGGGUCCUGAAGGAACGUUGAAGACGACGACGUUGAUAGGCCGGGUGUGUAAGCGCAGCGAUGCGUUGAGCUAACCGGUACUAAUGAACCGUGAGGCUUAACCUUACAACGCCGAAGGUGUUU